AGAGUUUGAUCCUGGCUCAGAAUCAACGCUGGCGGCGCGCUUAACACAUGCAAGUCGAACGAGAAAGUCCGCAAGGAUGAGUACAGUGGCGUACGGGUGAGUAACACGUGGAUCAUCUACCUCUUAGUGAGGAAUAACCCUGGGAAACCGGGGCUAAUACCGCAUAAGCCUGGAAAGGGAAAGUCGAAAGACGCUGAGAGAGGAGUCCGCGGCCGAUUAGCUAGUUGGCAGGGUAACAGCCUACCAAGGCUUUGAUCGGUAGCCGGCCUGAGAGGGCACACGGCCACACUGGCACUGAAACACGGGCCAGACUCCUACGGGAGGCAGCAGUGGGGAAUCUUGCACAAUGGGGGCAACCCUGAUGCAGCGACGCCGCGUGAGCGAUGAAGCCCUUCGGGGUGUAAAGCUCUUUC
rnacentral:rRNA from 1 species